AACAAAAUGAAGCUUUUUGUAGUAACACUACGCGUCCUUGAUAGUCGUUAGUUUCGAGGCCAAAUUGCGGUUUUAUAAAAUGUAACGUGAAACUUCCUCCGAUCUGUGUUUGCCGAAAGCUGUCGAAAGUGCAAUAAGGCAGAUGUAUCGUUCCAUAAAAGCACUAGGUUUAGUAAGUCUACAUCCUUUAGUAAUACCAUCCUUGACUAUAUAGACUCCGGUUCUAAGUAUGUUACUGCUAAACACAGUUAUCAAAAUCUGAGAGUGUCGGGUUUUAAUGAAACUUCUUGUUCCAAAGCCGAGUGAGUUGGUAGCUUUGUGUUAGUCACAGUUACUACUAUUCAUUUUUGACAGCUUUAAUUAUAACGAUAAAACACUAAACUUGAACUGCGUCGUCCCAAAUUUUCGACUGGACUUCAAUUACGAGGUACACGGGCAAGUUAUGCUGGUGUCUAUUUAUGGAAACGGAACGGGAUGAGUUAUUUUCCGCGACAAUCACCUUGGGCUUACUUUUAAAUUAGGAGAAUACGAAAAGAAGGGUAAACAAUAUUUUAAUAUCCUUCACCAACAACUGGGCAUGCAGCCCAGAGACACUGACUUUAAUCUUCAAAAUUUGUUUGAUGGUGAUGAAGAAUUAGCUAAUCGUAUGCUAAAUUUACUAAAAGAAAAUGUCAUCGAAUUAUUUGGUGAUCUUAGACCUGGUUAUGAAGAAGCUUUUGGAAAAGAUUUUGGAGAAUGUGCCUGUUUUUGAUAUCUUCGGCUGAAAUCAGUUGGAAUGAUAUAAAAUGCUCUGUCAAAGAAUGUCGUUUGUUACCAAUAAAACUAGCAAAAAUAAAAA